rnacentral:rRNA from 1 species
GUCUAUAUGAAGGUGUAUAUAGUUUGGCCUGCUCACUGAUUAAAUUAAAGAGCCGCAGUAUUUUGACUGUGCGAAGGUAGCAUAAUAAAUUGUCUUUUAAAUAAAGGCUUGAAUGAAAGGUUGGACAAAGUAUCAUCUGUUUCUUAAAUAUUUAUUGAAUUUGACUUUUAAGUGAAAAGGCUUAAAUAAAUCAAAAAGACGAUAAGACCCUAUAAAUCUUUACAAUAAAUAUAUUUUAUAUUUUAUAUUAUAAGUGUAUAAUAAAUAAAAAUAUAAAUUUGUUGCGCUGGGGCGGCGUAGAUAUAUAAAUAAACUGUCUAUAAUUUAAAUACAAUAAUCAUUGUUUAGUAAAAUUGAUCCUUAAAUAGAUUAAAAGAUUAAGAUACUUUAGGGAUAACAGCGUUAUUUUUUUUGAGAGUUCCUAUCGAAGAAAAAGUUUGCGACCUCGAUGUUGAAUUAAAGUAUCUUUAUGGUGUAGCCGCUAUAAGAGAGAGUCUGUUCGACUUUUAAUACUUU